AUAUAUCAACCUCUUCAGAUUUUUUUUGUCGAGUGUUGGAUGUGGGGGGUAUUUUUUUGCUGGUCUCUCUUUGAGGUCAGCUCCCCUAAAAUAUAUUAGCGGGACAAUUUGUUGACCGUUCAUUGGUGUGAUAACUAUCUACGCUAUUGACGUGAGGCAGGUUCAGCUUCUAACAGUCCAUUGACUUGGACAAAUCUUUUAUUA
rnacentral:misc_RNA from 1 species